AAAAUGGCGGCACCCACGUCUUCCGCAAGCUGCGCAAACAAGGCAUCCACUGCCAUUUCAACCGCAUUGUUCUAUUCCCUUCCAAAAGAGAGGCCGAAACGUUUUGUUCGUGCAAACCUGCUGGAUGUAAUCGACACUAAUGAGAGUGAUUUUUCUGCUGAUGAGGGAAGUGAAGAUGAACUGUCUGGAGACAGCAGUGGUGAAGAAUGGGCCGACUCAACUGAGGCUGACGAGGCUGAGGCAGAAGUUCCAAGCACGACAGAUAAUCCUGCAAGGGAUGGGAAAUCAAGUAACGCGAAGAAGCGGUACACAUGGCUGAAAAAGGAGUUCGAUAAUGAAGCAGUGAGUUUCCAGAACGACUUUCCGCUGCCUCCUGCAGAGCCGCUGAGCGCCAAGCAAUACUUUGACAUGUUUGUUUCCCGAUCCAUGUUGAAAGCUGUGGUGGAUGAGAGCAACAAGUACUACUUUCAGAAACAUGGAACCCCCCUAAACCUCACUGUUGAGGAACUGACAUCUGUGCUGGGUAUGUUCUUCAGGAUGGGACUUGUAAACAUGCACAUGGUUCGUGCUUACUGGAAAAGUGGAAGUAUAUAUGAAUUAGUGGCCCAGGUUAUGUCUCGAAACAGGUUUGAGAAAAUAACAAGUCACUUGCACUUCUUUGAUAAUGAAGCGGCCACUGAAAAAAUUAAAGAAGACAAGUGUUGGAAAGUGCGUCCAUAGCUCACUUCCUUGCGCAGCAACAUGAUUGGCUUGCCCCAAGAAAAAAAGUCAGCAGUGGACGAAGUCCUGAUCCCUUUCCGUGGACGUUGUUACAUUCGGCAAUACAUGCCUAAUAAACCUAAAAGCAAAUGGGGCCUGAAAGUUUGGGCGCGUUCUGGAGAAUCAGGUCUGUGCUACGAUUUUGAUGUAUACCAACGCUGCAACAAAGGUUUUUAUGGCUACCAGGAUGGCUACCAGCUUGGGUUGGGAGCUGGUGUUGUGCUCCAGCUGUGUUCGAGCCUUCCGAAGCGAGACGACAGUCUAGUCGUCGCUGACAACUUCUUUACUGGCCCUCACCUUGUAGAAGAACUCACUAAAAUGGGAAUCUCCUACAUUGGCACCGUCCGUGAAAACAGACUCAAUUGCGUCAAGUUAAUGGAUGACAAAUUGAUGAAAAAGCGAGGUCGGGGUACCUGCGAUACUUCCGUUGCCUCCUGUGAUCAAAAGACGAUGGUGGCCGUGAAGUGGUAUGACAACCGCUCUGUAACUCUCCUUUCCAACUGCAUUGGUACCAACCCGGUUACCUCCGUUAAAAGGUGGAAUAGCAAGGAAAAAAAGCAUGUCUUUGUAGACUGCCCAGCGAUCAUCCCUGCCUAUAACAGAUCGAUGGGUGGCGUGGACCUUCUUGACAAAAUGUGCUUCUCAUAUCGUUUUCCCAUCACGUCAAAGCGCUGGUAUAUGUAUUUAUUUUGGCAUACGCUGAAGAUGGCUGCUGUUAAUGCAUAGCUCAUGCAGAAGAGAAUCCUUCAGCAGCAGGGAUCGUCGCCCCCGCCUUUGAGAGAAUUCCUCUCUGAGCUCGCUACAAGCCUUAUCUUGCACAACAAGCGACCACCAGGGCGCCCUUCAAUUGAGAAUGUCACACCACUCAAGAAAAUGUGCUUAAAUGUACCCCGUGACGUCAGGACAGACAGCAAGGAACACUGGCCCACAUGGAAUACACGACGGAACCGCUGCAAGGCAUGCCCAGGGGGGUACACGUAUGUCUCUUGUUCGAAGUGUCAGGUGAUGCUUUGUUUAAACAAGGAUCGCAACUGUUUCGUAAGCUACCACCAGUAGGCUGCCAACAGGCCUACUUACGCUUUGUAUUGUGUUCGAUGUGAUAUGCGCCAGAAGGAACGGUGCUAAUAAAAGAAGUCUUUCACUUG